rnacentral:rRNA from 1 species
GAUGCGGGAGUGCCGCAAGGAACGACAAGACAGGUGCUGCAUGGCUGUCGUCAGCUCGUGUCGUGAGAUGUUGGGUUAAGUCCCGCAACGAGCGCAACCCUUGUCCCUAGUUGCCAGCACGUAAUGGUGGGAACUCUAGGGAGACUGCCGGUGACAAACCGGAGGGAGGUGGGGAUGACGUCAAGUCCUCAUGGCCCUUACGGCCAGGGCUACACACGUACUACAAUGGUCGGUACAGAGGGUUGCGAAGCCGCGAGGUGGAGCCAAUCCCAGAAAACCGAUCCCAGUCCGGAUCGGAGUCUGCAACUCGACUCCGUGAAGUCGGAAUCGCUAGUAAUCGCGAAUCAGCUAUGUCGCGGUGAAUACGUUCCCGGGCCUUGUACACACCGCCCGUCACACCAUGGGAGUUGGCUGCACCAGAAGCAGGUAGUCUAACCGCAAGGAGGACGCCUACCACGGUGUGGUCAAUGACUGGGGUGAAGUCGUAACAAGGUAACCGUAA